CUGGCGGCGUGCCUAACACAUGCAAGUCGAACGGAGCUAAGGAAGCUGCUCUGGAGCUAGUGGCGGACGGGUGAGUAACACGUGAGUAACCUGCCUUCAGAGGGGAAUAAUGUUUGGAAACGGACACUAAUACCGCAUAAUAUAUUUUAGUCGCAUGAUUGAAAUAUCAAAGGAGCAAUCCGCUGAAAGAUGGACUCGCGUCUGAUUAGCCAGUUGGCGGGGUAACGGCCCACCAAGCGACGAUCAGUAGCCGGACUGAGAGGUUGAACGGCCACAUUGGGACUGAGACACGGCCCAGACUCCUACGGGAGGCAGCAGUGGGGGAUAUUGCACAAUGGGCGCAAGCCUGAUGCAGGCCAACGCCCGCGUGCAGGAAGACGGUCUUCGGAUUGUAAACUGUUGUCCUCUGUGACGAUAAUGACGGUAGCAGAGGAGGAAGCCACGGCUAACUACGUGCCAGCAGCCGC
rnacentral:rRNA from 1 species